rnacentral:rRNA from 1 species
GGAUUAGAUACCCUAUUAUUUUUAUUGUAAAAUUUGAAACUUGAGUAUUAGUAGUUAAGGUCUUGAAACUUAAAGAAUUUGGCGGUAUUAUAGUCUAUUUAGAGGAAUCUGUUAUGUAAUCGAUAGUCCACGUUGAACCUUACUUAUAUUAUUUCUUGUAUACCGCUGUUUGAGAAUAUACUUUUAGGUUAUUUUCUUAAUAUAUUAUUAAUUAAAAUUUCAGGUCAAGGUGCAGUAAUAUAUAAGUUGAAUAAUGGAUUACAAUAAAUUUUAUUUAUAUGGAUUGUUAUUGAAAUAUAAUUUGAAGGUGGAUUUAAUUGUAAUUUUUUAAAGAUUAUUAAAAUGAUUAAUAGCUCUAUAAUAUGUACACAUCGCCCGUCGCUCUCGUUAUUAAGAUGAGAUAAGUC